rnacentral:rRNA from 1 species
CCUACGGGGUGCAGCAGUGAGGAAUAUUGGUCAAUGGGCUUACGCCUGAACCAGCCAAGUCGCGUGAGGGAAGACUGCCCUAUGGGUUGUAAACCUCUUUUGUCAGGGAGCAACGCCGGCUACGUGUAGCCGUACUGAGAGUACCUGAAGAAAAAGCAUCGGCUAACUCCGUGCCAGCAGCCGAGGGAAUACGGAGGAUGCGAGCGUUAUCCGGAUUUAUUGGGUUUAAAGGGUGCGUAGGCGGAAUGCCAAGUCAGCGGUAAAUUCGCUGGGCCCAACCUCGCUCCGCCGUUGAAACUGGCGUUCUUGAGUGGGCGAGAGGUAUGCGGAAUGCAUGGUGUAGCGGUGAAAUGCUUAGAGAUCAUACAGAACACCGAUUGCGAAGGCAGCUUACCAAUCUAUAUCUGACGUUGAGGCACGAAAGCGUGGGGAGCAAACAGGAUUAGAUACCCGUGUAGUC